rnacentral:rRNA from 1 species
GAUGAACGCUGGCGGCGUGCCUAAUACAUGCAAGUCGAGCGAACAGACGAGGAGCUUGCUCCUCUGACGUUAGCGGCGGACGGGUGAGUAACACGUGGAUAACCUACCUAUAAGACUGGGAUAACUUCGGGAAACCGGAGCUAAUACCGGAUAAUAUAUUGAACCGCAUGGUUCAAUAGUGAAAGACGGUUUUGCUGUCACUUAUAGAUGGAUCCGCGCCGCAUUAGCUAGUUGGUAAGGUAACGGCUUACCAAGGCAACGAUGCGUAGCCGACCUGAGAGGGUGAUCGGCCACACUGGAACUGAGCCACGGUCCAGACUCCUACGGGAGGCAGCAGUAGGGAAUCUUCCGCAAUGGGCGAAAGCCUGACGGAGCAACGCCGCGUGAGUGAUGAAGGUCUUCGGAUCUUAAAACUCUGUUAUUAGGGAAGAACAAAUGUGUAAGUAACUAUGCACGUCUUGACGGUACCUAAUCAGAAAGCCACGGCUAACUACGUG